rnacentral:rRNA from 1 species
UACGGGGGGGGGCAAGCGUUGUUCGGAAUUACUGGGCGUAAAGGGCUCGUAGGCGGCCAACUAAGUCAUACGUGAAAUCCCUCGGCUUAACCGGGGAACUGCGCUUGAGACUGGCACGCUCGAGUUCGGGAGAGGAUGGUGGAAUUCCCAGUGUAGAGGUGAAAUUCGUAGAUAUUGGGAAGAACACCGAUGGCGAAGGCAGCCAUCUGGACCGACACUGACGCUGAGGCGCGAAAGCGUGGGGAGCAAACAGG